GUAAUGCUGUGGGGUGGAGCGCUGAUGUUCACAUAAUAGGGUACAGAGAGUACUUUUCAUUUGACAUCACCAUUCAUCAUGUUUACUGUUAUACUGAUGUGCCUGUGGCUUUCACUAAGUGACUCCAUGGCAAAUCAAAUAAAGCCAUUUUUCACUCAUAAAGUUGUAGAUGAAGGUGCUGAUGUUACCCUGUCCUGCAGCUACAAAGACAUCAGUGGCACUGUAAAGAAUCUGUUCUGGUACAGACAAUAUCCAAAAUCUAAUCCUGAGUUUGUUCUUUACAUCUUUCCAAGUGGAGAUAAAAGUAACCCUCGUCCACCACUUCUGGAUGCUAAAGUUGAUGAUAAUAAAAAAGAAGUGGAUCUGAUCAUCUCCUCUGCUGCUGUAUCAGACUCUGCUCUAUACUUCUGUGCUCUGGAGCCCACAGUGAGAGGAAAUCCAACUGCACUGUACAAAAACUAACACACAGUUUUGUUAUACUGUAGUAUUUAAAGUAUACUAACUGUCUGCCGAUGACAUCUGCUGUCUGCUCAUUUCCAAGGGGAAGCCCAGAUACCAUACUUCCUCC